CCUACGGGAGGCAGCAGUGGGGAAUUUUGGACAAUGGGCGCAAGCCUGAUCCAGCAAUGCCGCGUGCAGGAUGAAGGCCUUCGGGUUGUAAACUGCUUUUGUACGGAACGAAACGGUGAGCUCUAAUACAGUUUGCUAAUGACGGUACCGUAAGAAUAAGCACCGGCUAACUACGUGCCAGCAGCCGCGGUAAUACGUAGGGUGCGAGCGUUAAUCGGAAUUACUGGGCGUAAAGCGUGCGCAGGCGGUGAUGUAAGACAGAUGUGAAAUGCCCGGGCUCAACCUGGGACCUGCAUUUGUGACUGCAUCGCUAGAGUACGGUAGAGGGGGAUGGAAUUCCGCGUGUAGCAGUGAAAUGCGUAGAUAUGCGGAGGAACACCGAUGGCGAAGGCAAUCCCCUGGACCUGUACUGACGCUCAUGCACGAAAGCGUGGGGAGCAAACAGGAUUAGAUACCCUGGUAGUCCACGCCCUAAACGAUGUCAACUGGUUGUUGGGUCUUCACUGACUCAGUAACGAAGCUAACGCGUGAAGUUGACCGCCUGGGGAGUACGGCCGCAAGGUUGAAACGUCAAAUGAAUUGACGGCUGAGAGNGCGAGGCGACACGAGGGGAGAGG
rnacentral:rRNA from 1 species